GACGAACGCUGGCGGCGUGCCUAAUACAUGCAAGUAGAACGCUGAAGGAGGAGCUUGCUUCUCUGGAUGAGUUGCGAACGGGUGAGUAACGCGUAGGUAACCUGCCUGGUAGCGGGGGAUAACUAUUGGAAACGAUAGCUAAUACCGCAUAAUAGCAGUUAUUGCAUGAUAACUGUUUGAAAGGUGCAAUUGCACCACUACCAGAUGGACCUGCGUUGUAUUAGCUAGUUGGUGGGGUAACGGCUCACCAAGGCGACGAUACAUAGCCGACCUGAGAGGGUGAUCGGCCACACUGGGAAUGAGACACGGCCCAGACUCCUACGGGAGGCAGCAGUAGGGAAUCUUCGGCAAUGGACGGAAGUCUGACCGAGCAACGCCGCGUGAGUGAAGAAGGUUUUCGGAUCGUAAAGCUCUGUUGUAAGAGAAGAACGAGUGUGAGAGUGGAAAGCUCACACUGUGACGGUAUCUUACCAGAAAGGGACGGCUAACUACGUG
rnacentral:rRNA from 1 species